rnacentral:rRNA from 1 species
AGAGUUUGAUCUUGGCUCAGGACGAACGCUGGCGGCGCGCCUAACACAUGCAAGUCGAACGAGCGAGAGAGAGCUUGCUUUCUUGAGCGAGUGGCGAACGGGUGAGUAACGCGUGAGGAACCUGCCUCAAAGAGGGGGACAACAGUUGGAAACGACUGCUAAUACCGCAUAAGCCCACGGUGCCGCAUGGCACAGAGGGAAAAGGAGCAAUCCGCUUUGAGAUGGCCUCGCGUCCGAUUAGCUAGUUGGUGAGGUAAUGGCCCACCAAGGCGACGAUCGGUAGCCGGACUGAGAGGUUGAACGGCCACAUUGGGACUGAGACACGGCCCAGACUCUUACGGGAGGCAGCAGUGGGGAAUAUUGCACAAUGGGGGAAACCCUGAUGCAGCGACGCCGCGUGGAGGAAGAAGGUCUUCGGAUUGUAAACUCCUGUUGUUGGGGAAGAUAAUGACGGUACCCAACAAGGAAGUGACGGCUAACUACGUGCCAGCAGCCGCGGUAAAACGUAGGUCACAAGCGUUGUCCGGAAUUACUGGGUGUAAAGGGAGCGCAGGCGGGAAGACAAGUUGGAAGUGAAAUCUAUGGGCUCAACCCAUAAACUGCUUUCAAAACUGUUUUUCUUGAGUAGUGCAGAGGUAGGCGGAAUUCCCGGUGUAGCGGUGGAAUGCGUAGAUAUCGGGAGGAACACCAGUGGCGAAGGCGGCCUACUGGGCACCAACUGACGCUGAGGCUCGAAAGUGUGGGUAGCAAACAGGAUUAGAUACCCUGGUAGUCCACACCGUAAACGAUGAUUACUAGGUGUUGGAGGAUUGACCCCCUCAGUGCCGCAGUUAACACAAUAAGUAAUCCACCUGGGGAGUACGACCGCAAGGUUGAAACUCAAAGGAAUUGACGGGGGCCCGCACAAGCAGUGGAGUAUGUGGUUUAAUUUGACGCAACGCGAAGAACCUUACCAAGUCUUGACAUCCCUUGACAGACAUAGAAAUAUGUUUUCUCUUCGGAGCAAGGAGACAGGUGGUGCAUGGUUGUCGUCAGCUCGUGUCGUGAGAUGUUGGGUUAAGUCCCGCAACGAGCGCAACCCUUAUGGUCAGUUACUACGCAAGAGGACUCUGGCCAGACUGCCGUUGACAAAACGGAGGAAGGUGGGGAGGACGUCAAAUCAUCAUGCCCCUUAUGACUUGGGCUACACACGUACUACAAUGGCGUUAAACAAAGAGAAGCAAGACCGCGAGGUGGAGCAAAACUCAGAAACAACGUCCCAGAUCGGACUGCAGGCUGCAACUCGCCUGCACGAAGUCGGAAUUGCUAGUAAUCGUGGAUCAGCAUGCCACGGUGAAUA